rnacentral:lncRNA from 1 species
UGGAUUGCAAUUUCAAUAAAUCUACCAAAAGAUAUAUUUUUUCUCGUGAAGACGCGCAAAGCUGAAGGAUCAGCAACUGAAUUCGAAGUCAAGUUUUGAAAAUCACCUAAAAAAUGGCAGCUACUUUUAUAUAUGAUGUAGCACCUGCAGCAUAGUCCCGUUUCAAGAAUUUGAGGUCGUACCUGGUGCUAGUGCUUGGAAAAGAAAUUUAUGCUCGCCAGAAUGAAGCAAGGUGUUGCUGCGACGAAUGAUGUUACGCCUCCGACACUGCUAUUAAAGAUUCCAUAGGCCUUGCAUAAGUGAUCAAGGCUAUUAGUGUCUACUCGAUGAAGGCAAUGUUCAGUUUAUUAGCUAACGACAUGAAAAUUAAUGAAGUAUAUUGUGCAAGAACGGAGUCCAAAUAACAAACAUCUGGCGUGCAUUAUAUUAACUAUAUGAGUUGGGCGUCUAAUUGGUAUUACAACUACUUGCUACCGGGGAUAUAGGAACUCCAUCAAAGAUUUUAGGUAGCAAAGGAACAAAAUUGAACAAUGAUAAUAAAGAAAGCCAAACAAUUUCGUAGAGAGAAUCACCUGUCAAAUGCUACCAUGCAAAGAGGGCUCAAUGUGUAUCUUAACAAGUUUGGAUAUAUACUUAUGCAUCG